rnacentral:rRNA from 1 species
UACGUAGGGGGCAAGCGUUGUCCGGAAUCAUUGGGCGUAAAGAGCGCGUAGGCGGCCCUGUAAGUCCGCUGUGAAAGUCAAGGGCUCAACCCUUGGAUGCCGGUGGAUACUGCAGGGCUAGAGUCCGGAAGAGGCGAGUGGAAUUCCUGGUGUAGCGGUGAAAUGCGCAGAUAUCAGGAGGAACACCGAUGGCGAAGGCAGCUCGCUGGGACGGUACUGACGCUGAGGCGCGGAAAGCGUGGGGAGCAAACAGG